UCAAGCUACCAAUGACUUUCUUCACAGAAUUGGAAAAAACUACUUUAAAGUUCAUAUGGAACCAAAAAAGAGCCCGCAUUGCCAAGUCAAUCCUAAGCCAAAAGAACAAAGCUGGAGGCAUCACACUACCUGACUUCAAACUAUACCACAAGGCUACAGUAACAAAAACAGCAUGGUACUGGUACCAAAACAGAGAUAUAGAUCAAUGGAACAGAACAGAGCCCUCAGAAAUAACACCACAUACCUACAACUAUCUGAUCUUUGACAAACCUGAGAAAAACAAGCAAUGGGGAAAGGAUUCCCUAUUUAAUAAAUGGUGCUGGGAAAACUGGCUAGCCAUAUGUAGAAAGCUGAAACUGGAUCCCUUCCUUACACCUUAUACAAAAAUCAAUUCAAGAUGGACUAAAGAUUUAAACGUUAGACCUAAAACCAUAAAAACCCUAGAAGAAAACCUAGGCAUUACCAUUCAGGACAUAGGUGUGGGCAAGGACUUCAUGUCCAAAACACCAAAAGCAAUGGCAACAAAAGACANNNNNNNNNNCACCAGCAUGGCACAUGUAUACAUAUGUAACUAACCUGCACAAUGUGCACAUGUACCCUAAAACUUAAAGCACCACCUUGAUUUUUCUCUUGUUU
rnacentral:lncRNA from 1 species